ACAGUAAAUCAUAUAAAAUAUUAAUCAGACUCCCUCAAAAAGUAUCCUUAUAGGUAGGGUUGAAUGCUCUCUAAAAUUAUGUCUUUUGAAUUGCGCUUUUUAUUGGCAAUUUAAAUUCCAACAAAUACAAUGUUUAAGUAUCUCAGUAAAUUUCACUCCGAAGCAAUCAAAGUGGUAUGCUGCUACUGGUGAUGAGAAUCACUGUGAAGAGAACCUAAGACUCAACAUGUUUUUGCAAGUUAGUCAAAGCUCUGUGUGGGAAGAAGCCACAGAAAUUUAUUCAAGCUCCUACUUUAGUUUAGAGCACAAGUGUGAGUUACACCAGGAAGUGAAAUUCGGUCUGGAUAGAGAAUAUUGGCAUCUAUCUCACAGAAUAAUAGAGAGGAGAUUUAAGAAUUUUGAAAAUAUGCUUCUGGAAGACAGAUAUACAGGUGUUUCCAAGCAAAGAUGUGCUUUUCUUACAAUAAUCUCUUUCAGAAGUGUGCUGAGGAAGAUGGUAACAUGAUGACAUAUCCUAGACAAAUCUUCAACUUCUUUGCCUUUUGCUUCUCCCUUAGUGACUGGACAUUUCAUCUAGAGUUCUCUUGGUUCCAAAGACACUGAAUCAUCUUGCUGAGUGGAAACUGAGAACAUUGAGUUUCAAAGGACUGGAAAAAUUAAAAAAAAAACAAAACCAAAACCAAAACCAAAACCAAAAACAAAAACAAAAACUGGAACCACUUAAAGAUGAGGAUAGAAGAGCACUAAUUCAAACAUCUAAAGGGAAAAUGAGAGAGACUGUUUAUGGAGAAAUCACAUGGCAGAAUUUCUGUCUUGCACUUCCCUUAACAUUUGGAGUCCAGGCAAUCAGACAGCACUGAAGAUAAGAUGCUCCUCAGUUUUUCCAAAAUGAAAGAAGAAACAGAGAGACUGAUUGUGUGAAACAGAAGUCCGUACCAGUCCCUUUGGCAAUCUUGAUGGAUUUUUUAGCUUGUUCCUCUGGCUAUGUAGAACGCGUAUGAAGUAUAUAUUAAAAUAUUCAUACACUGGGCAAUAACCACCUUUCAAGACUGAUGUGAGAUUGACUCAGAAACACACAGCUCUUGGGGCUUGAUUCAUGUUUCCUUAAUGUUUGCUGUUGGCAAGACUGCUCCCAUUGAUAAAUUCUCAAAACAAACUUGUGAGCCAAGAUUGCUUUUCCCUCUAUGACUGAUAUUUUCCUACCCACAAACUUUGGUAAUUUUACUUAAUAGGUAAAUUUUAUUCAUCCCUUCUAGCACUAAUUCUCUUUGAAAGAAAGGGAAUGCAUAAUUUACUCUGAUAUAUUUGUCUUGCUAAAUUCCAUCUUGUAUAAAAUGCAUGUCAAAGAAUGUUUCUCAGAUAUCAGUAUCACUUCAUAUACUACUAUAAAUGCUAUCUGUUUUGCAUAAAAGUAAUAAUAAAUGACGAUGCAAUCAGCACGUAAGCUCCUAAAAAUCUGUUGAUUACUUGAAAAAAAUUCUCAAUCUCUGAAACAUAGAUCAGAUUAAUUUUUUACUUCAAGUUUAGGAAUCUGUGACAUGAACAUUAACAUGGAGGUGUUAGCAAGGAUAAAAGAGGAGCUGAAUAUUUAUGGCAAUAUUUACACUACGAUAACAGAGAUGAGAAAUAACUUUCAGAAGGAACACAAAGCCAAAAUUACAGGGUUUAAUUUUGGUGUUACGCUACGUAUCUUCAGUUCUCCUACGUGUGACAACACCAGGGCUUUCUGUGAGGUAAGCCCUUGCGGGAGUCCCACUGAAUGUACCCCAUUACAACAACUAGCUAUGACUUACAGCUGGAAUUUCGGAUUUGCACCUGAGAAAGUCUGUAGCAAAACAAACUACUUUAACAAUACUUACUACCACACAGCAUGACUCUUUUCGUGUGUUUUCAAAUUGCCAAGUAAAUAAAUAUAUCCUGAAACAUGUAAAUAUGAAAGGAGCUGUAUAUAUAUAUGUUAUAUUAAGUUGUAAGUUAUAGACAGAAUGAAAUUAGAUGAAAUUUUCAUGUUUGCUUCCUCCUUGCACCCCUAACUAUGUUGAGGUUUGUAGAAGCAUCAGAGAGUCCAGAGGAGGACUCUGCUUCAGGUUCUGAAAAUCAAGGGGGAAAAGUAAACAGAGAAAGCAAAAGUACAGAACAAUCAAACUGGUCUGCAAGCUGAAACCAUCUCCCAGGCCCGCACUGAACCCUUCACCAGCUCAGUUGUGGUGAACUAUGGUGAAUGUUUUGCUCUAUGCACGGAUUAUUUCCUCAUAUCUUCUGGGUUUUUUUUCUCAGUGCUCUGUGCGGAAGCCUUGACACACAUUCCAUAGCUAAUUUCAUUGCAAAAUAAAGAAAUUUUGAGUUUAUCAAAAGGGUGUGAAACACAAGGCACAGAAUAUUUUAAAUAUUCUGUAUUAAAAAUCCUCAUAAUUUGUCAUGUAUUGAAUUUUUUAAGCCUUCAUCCUUUGUUCAGUAGUCUCAAACUAAAGGUAUUGAAGGCCUGGGACUAUGACUCUGCUACCUGGCCAUUCUGCCUGUAACUUUCGUGUCAUUUUGUAUCCCUGUCUCCAUCUAGGGCUUAGGAAUUUAUAGAAAUGCCUCUUCAAGGAAUUCCUGUUAAAAGAGCCUUAUUGCUAUUUAAAAAACAUCUUGUUGCAGACUUGUCCCUUUUUCAAUUCGAUCUCUAGUUUCCCCUAAAAACAAAACAUAUUGCAAAAUGUAACCGCAAAGAAAAAUCAGCAUGUAAUUUCUAAUAGUAGGUAUUCCCUGAACGUCUACAUAACUCAUAAAUCAAUAAGAAUAUCAGAUUUGCUGCACUGUUUACUUCCUUCAUUCUUUUAACAGUUUUUGGUAUUUUUUAGUGUUUCUUCAGAAGUAAUAGUUCUUAAUUAUUCUAUGUUACUAAAGUGACUGAAGCAAAGAAUUACAGAUUUCCAAAUCAGACAUUCCAGAUUUACAGUGUGUUUUGGACAUAAAAUAAACCCCAUAUUGCAUGGGUCUUUCAUUUAAUCUCCUGGAUGCCAUUUUAACGCUGUUCAGUGGUACACUGUCCUGUACACUUUUCCUCCUAAGACCACUUGAUUUUCUGAUUCUGGAACAGCCAAACACAUAGCUCUUACAUGUUUCAUUAGCAUGGGAAAAUUCACUAGUCAGUGGCUACUGAAAGAGAACUCCUCAAAUUCAGUCCUCAUCCAUUGAUUUGCACAGCUAUUAGGUCUUGGUUUUGAUUUGCACUCCUUCUUGUGGGAAGAUGUCUGAUGUGUGUGUAGGCCCUGGAUUGAAUUAGAGAUUAAAAAAACCUAUGCAAAUUGUAAAAAAAAAAAAACUACUUUAACAAAUGCUAAUCUUAAUUAUGUUUACUUAAAAUCUCUUCUUCAAUCUUGCCUUGCAGUUUAACUUGACCAUUUCACUGUCAUUUGUUUACUCCUCUGGAAUAUUUUUUUUAUCAUAACUAGUAUAUUUUAACAGCAUAGGGGGACAAAGGAAGAGACAACUGAGUACAUCUCAAGACUGGAAUGAGAACUAAUUUGUCUUAGAAAUGGUACUCUAGUUCUGCUGCAUUUGUUCUUAAAGAAUUUUUAGAUGAUUUCUCUAAAUAGUUCUAGUCAGAGAAAAACUUCCUUACUCAACAACAUGUUUAAGAGAAUGUUUGCUAACAAGUCUUCCAGAAGACUCUUACUGUGUAGAAGCACAGAUGAUAUAAGAGCA